rnacentral:rRNA from 1 species
UGGGGAAUUUUGGACAAUGGGGGAAACCCUGAUCCAGCCAUCCCGCGUGUGCGAUGAAGGCCUUCGGGUUGUAAAGCACUUUUGGCAGGAAAGAAACGUCAUGGGUUAAUACCCCGUGAAACUGACGGUACCUGCAGAAUAAGCACCGGCUAACUACGUGCCAGCAGCCGCGGUAAUACGUAGGGUGCAAGCGUUAAUCGGAAUUACUGGGCGUAAAGCGUGCGCAGGCGGUUCGGAAAGAAAGAUGUGAAAUCCCAGAGCUCAACUUUGGAACUGCAUUUUUAACUACCGGGCUAGAGUGUGUCAGAGGGAGGUGGAACUCCGCGUGUAGCAGUGAAAUGCGUAGAUAUGCGGAGGAACACCGAUGGCGAAGGCAGCCUCCUGGGAUAACACUGACGCUCAUGCACGAAAGCGUGGGGAGCAAACAG